ensembl:lncRNA A2MP1 alpha-2-macroglobulin pseudogene 1
UUUGCCCUAGCAGGAAACAAAGUCAAGCGAAGAGAGUUGCUUGAAUCAUUAAACAGAGAGGCUAUGAAAGAAGAGGAUUCGAUCCACUGGCAACGUCCUGGGAAACUUCACGAAGCUAAGACCCUCUAUUCUCAACCCUGGGCUCCCUCUGUGGAAGUAGAGAUGACAUCUUAUGUGCUCCUUGCCUAUCUUACUGUCCAGCCUGCCCCAUCUUCAGAGGACCUGUCUGUGGCAUCACGUAUUGUGAAGUGGAUUACCAAGCAGCAAAAUCCCCAAGGGGGCUUCUCCUCCACUCAGGUCUGUGGGAAGACUCUAGAAGGAAACAUAAAUAUAUUCACAUAUAUGAAGACACAACCAUCUGGGAGUUGAAUAAUGGAAUGGACACAGUGGUGGCUCUUCAAGCGCUCUCCAAAUAUGGAACAGCAACUUUCACUAAAAGUGAGAAAGCAGCUUUGGUCACCAUCAAGUCUUCAGACACCUUUUCUAAAGACUUCCAAGUUGAUGAUGGCAACUGCCUAGUGCUGCAGGAGGUCCAGUUGCCAGAGGUUCCAGGGGAGUACAGCACAACCAUGUCAGGGUCAGGAUGUGUGUACCUCCAGACAUGCCUGAGAUAUAACAUCCUUCCCAAGAAAGAAGGGAAAACACCUUUUGCUCUGCAGGUUAAUACUCUCCCCACAAAUUGUGAUGGAAUGGAUGCUCACAGAACGUUCCAGAUUCACAUCAACAUUAGUUAUACUGGGGACUGACCCAGUUCCAACAUGGUCAUUGUUGAUGUGAAGAUGGUAUCAGGCUUCAUACCUAUGAGAGCAUCAGUUAAAAAGCUCCAGAAACAGCCUCAGAUUCAGAGGACUGAAGUGAGCACCAACCAUGUCCCAAUCUACUUUGAAAAGCUAACCCAUCAAACCCUGCAUUUUUCCUUCUUUGUGGAACAAGACAUCCAAAUAAAGAAUUUAAAACCAGCUACAGUAAAAGCCUAUGAUUAUUAUGAGACAGAUGAAUUCACCUUUGAAGAAUACAAUGCCCCUUGCAGUGCUGAAUCUGAAUAAAGAAAUGCUUGAAAACAGCAACUUACGGACCUCAUUGGGUGAACUUCUCCAGAAAUGAAGAACAGACUCAUCAAUAGAGAGGACAGUGAGAGAAAGAAGGGAAGAUCAUUGGAAAUACACAAAAUUUGUAUGUUGAAUAAAUUUAUGGCAUUUAU